rnacentral:rRNA from 1 species
UUAAGCGAAUAAGCGUACACGGUGGAUGCCUAGGCAAUCAGAGGCGAUGAAGGACGUGCUAAUCUGCGAAAAGCGUCGGUAAGGUGAUAUGAACCGUUAUACCCGACGAUAUCCGAAUGGGGAAACCCAGUAUCCAAUGGAUACUAUCAUUAACUGAAUCCAUAGGUUAAUGAGGCGAACCGGGAGAACUGAAACAUCUCAGUACCCCGAGGAAAAGAAAUCAACCGAGAUUCCCCUAGUAGCGGCGAGCGAACGGGGAGCAGCCCAGAGUCUUAAUCAAUAGCAGUGUCAGGAGAACGGUCUGGAAAGUCCGGCAGUAAAGGGUGAUAGCCCCGUAUCUGAAGAUGCUGUUAUUGUGAACUCGAUGAGUAGGGCGGGACACGUGUUAUCCUGUCUGAAUAUGGGGGGACCAUCCUCCAAGGCUAAAUACUCCUGAUUGACCGAUAGUGAACCAGUACCGUGAGGGAAAGGCGAAAAGAACCCCGGCGAGGGGAGUGAAAAAGAACCUGAAACCGUGUACGUACAAGCAGUAGGAGCCUCUUUAUGGGGUGACUGCGUACCUUUUGUAUAAUGGGUCAGCGACUUAUAUUCUGUAGCGAGGUUAACCGUAUAGGGGAGCCGUAGGGAAACCGAGUCUUAACUGGGCGAAUGAGUUGCAGGGUAUAGACCCGAAACCCGGUGAUCUAUCCAUGGGCAGGUUGAAGGUUGGGUAACACUAACUGGAGGACCGAACCGACUAAUGUUGAAAAAUUAGCGGAUGACUUGUGGAUGGGGGUGAAAGGCCAAUCAAACCGGGAGAUAGCUGGUUCUCCCCGAAAGCUAUUUAGGUAGCGCCUCGUGAAUUCAUCUUCGGGGGUAGAGCACUGUUUCGACUAGGGGGUCAUCCCGACUUACCAACUCGAUGCAAACUGCGAAUACCGAAGAAUGUUAUCACGGGAGACACACGGCGGGUGCUAACGUCCGUCGUGAAGAGGGAAACAACCCAGACCGCCAGCUAAGGUCCCAAAGUCAUGGUUAAGUGGGAAACGAAGUGGGAAGGCUCAGACAGCCAGGAUGUUGGCUUAGAAGCAGCCAUCAUUUAAAGAAAGCGUAAUAGCUCACUGGUCGAGUCGGCCCGCGCGGAAGAUGUAACGGGGCUAAACCAUGCACCGAAGCUGCGGCAGCGACACAAAGUGUUGUUGGGUAGGGGAGCGUUCUGUAAGCCUGCGAAGGUGUACUGUGAGGUAUGCUGGAGGUAUCAGAAGUGCGAAUGCUGACAUAAGUAACGAUAAUGCGGGUGAAAAACCCGCACGCCGGAAGACCAAGGGUUCCUGUCCAACGUUAAUCGGGGCAGGGUGAGUCGACCCCUAAGGCGAGGCUGAAAAGCGUAGUCGAUGGGAAACGGGUUAAUAUUCCCGUACUGGUGGUAACUGCGAUGGGGGAACGGAGAAGGCUAGGUUGUCCGGGCGACGGUCGUCCCGGUUCAAGCAGGUAGGCAGAGUGAUUAGGCAAAUCCGGUCACUUAAUGCUGAGAUGUGAUGACGAACCACCAAGGUGGUGAAGCAAUUGAUGCCCCGCUUCCAGGAAAAGCCUCUAAGCUUCAGGUUACCAACAAUCGUACCCCAAACCGACACAGGUGGUCAGGUAGAGAAUACUCAGGCGCUUGAGAGAACUCGGGUGAAGGAACUAGGCAAAAUGGUGCCGUAACUUCGGGAGAAGGCACGCUGGCGGUAGGUAAAGUCCCUCGCGGACGGCGCCCAAGCCAGUCGAAGAUACCAGCUGGCUGCAACUGUUUAUUAAAAACACAGCACUGUGCAAACACGAAAGUGGACGUAUACGGUGUGACGCCUGCCCGGUGCUGGAAGGUUAAUUGAUGGGGUUAGCCGUAAGGCGAAGCUCCUGAUCGAAGCCCCAGUAAACGGCGGCCGUAACUAUAACGGUCCUAAGGUAGCGAAAUUCCUUGUCGGGUAAGUUCCGACCUGCACGAAUGGCGUAAUGAUGGCCAGGCUGUCUCCACCCGAGACUCAGUGAAAUUGAACUCGCUGUGAAGAUGCAGUGUACCCGCGGCAAGACGGAAAGACCCCGUGAACCUUUACUAUAGCUUGACACUGAACAUUGAGCCUUGAUGUGUAGGAUAGGUGGGAGGCUUUGAAGUGUGGACGCCAGUCUGCAUGGAGCCAACCUUGAAAUACCACCCUUUAACGUUUGAUGUUCUAACCUAGGCCCAUAAACUGGGUCGGGGACCGUGUCUGGUGGGUAGUUUGACUGGGGCGGUCUCCUCCUAAAGAGUAACGGAGGAGCACGAAGGUUGGCUAAGCAUGGUCGGACAUCAUGCGGUUAGUGCAAAGGCAUAAGCCAGCUUGACUGCGAGAGUGACGGCUCGAGCAGGUACGAAAGUAGGUCUUAGUGAUCCGGUGGUUCUGAAUGGAAGGGCCAUCGCUCAACGGAUAAAAGGUACUCCGGGGAUAACAGGCUGAUACCGCCCAAGAGUUCAUAUCGACGGCGGUGUUUGGCACCUCGAUGUCGGCUCAUCACAUCCUGGGGCUGAAGUAGGUCCCAAGGGUAUGGCUGUUCGCCAUUUAAAGUGGUACGCGAGCUGGGUUUAGAACGUCGUGAGACAGUUCGGUCCCUAUCUGCCGUGGGCGUUGGAAGAUUGAGAGGGGUUGCUCCUAGUACGAGAGGACCGGAGUGAACGCACCACUGGUGUUCGGGUUGUCAUGCCAAUGGCAUUGCCCGGUAGCUAAGUGCGGAAGAGAUAACCGCUGAAAGCAUCUAAGCGGGAAACUUGCCUCGAGAUGAGUCUUCCCUGUCACUUUAAGUGACCUAAAGGAACGUUUAAGACUAAGACGUUGAUAGGCUGGGUGUGUAAGCGUAGCGAUACGUUGAGCUAACCAGUACUAAUGAACCGUGAGGCUUAACC